UAGAAUGAUUGUCUUUGAUCCUA
rnacentral:siRNA from 1 species